rnacentral:rRNA from 1 species
UAGGGAAUUUUCGUCAAUGGGGGCAACCCUGAACGAGCAAUGCCGCGUGAGCGAAGAAGGUCUUCGGAUUGUAAAGCUCUUUUGCCGGGGAGCAACGGGGUCCUUGCGAGGGCCUUAUGAGAGUACCCGGAGAAAAAGCAUCGGCUAACUCCGUGCC